rnacentral:tRNA from 1 species
GCCGAGGUGGCGAAACUGGUAGACGCGCCGGACUCAAAAUCCGGUGGUGGCAACACCGUGCCGGUUCGACUCCGGCCCUCGGCA